rnacentral:rRNA from 1 species
UCGGCUUAGAGUUUGAUCAUGGCUCAGGACGAACGCUGGCGGCGUGCUUAACACAUGCAAGUCGAACGGGAGCCUUCGGGUUCUAGUGGCGGACGGGUGAGUAACGCGUGAGUAACCUGCCUUCAAGAGGGGAAUAACAGCGAGAAAUCGUUGCUAAUACCGCAUAAGACCACAAUCGCAUGAUCAGGGGUCAAAGAUUUAUCGCUUGAAGAUGGACUCGCGUCCCAUUAGCUAGUUGGUAGGGUAACGGCUUACCAAGGCAACGAUGGGUAGCCGAGCUGAGAGGCUGAUCGGCCACACUGGGACUGAGACACGGCCCAGACUCCUACGGGAGGCAGCAGUGGGGAAUAUUGGGCAAUGGGCGCAAGCCUGACCCAGCAACGCCGCGUGAAGGAAGAAUGUUUUCGGAUUGUAAACUUCUGUCCUCUGGGAAGAAAAAAAUGACGGUACCAGAGGAGGAAGCCCCGGCUAACUACGUGCCAGCAGCCGCGGUAAUACGUAGGGGCUAGCGUUGUCCGGAAUUACUGGGCGUAAAGGGAGCGUAGCGGUUUGUUAAGUCGGAUGUGAAAUACCCGGGCUCAACCUGGGGGUGCAUCCGAAACUGCGAACUUGAGU